AUUGAACGCUGGCGGCAGGCCUAACACAUGCAAGUCGAACGAGUGGCGGACGGGUGAGUAAUGUCUGGGAAACUGCCUGAUGGAGGGGGAUAACUACUGGAAACGGUAGCUAAUGCCGCAUACCAUCAGAUGUGCCCAGAGGGGUUUAGCUUGUGGGUGGGGUAACGGCUCACCAAGGCGACGAGCCCUACCUGGUCUGAGAGGAUGACCGGCCACACUGGGACUGAGACACGGCCCAGACUCCUACGGGAGGCAGCAGUGGGGAAUAUUCGACAAUGGGCGCAAGCCUGAUGGAGCCAUGCCGCGUGUAUGAAGAAGGUCUUCGGGUUGUAAAGCACUUUCGGCGGGGAGGCGUUACCCGCAGAAGAAGCACCGGCUAACUCCGUGCCAGCAGCCGCGGUAAUAC
rnacentral:rRNA from 1 species